ACGCUCCGGAGGUCCCGUUCCAUUUUGCCCGAGGACCCCUUGGCGGCGACUUUCCCCGGUUGUCGGUCCAGACGGUUCUGAGACUCAUCACUCAUCACUGGCUCAUCACUUGUGGAGGAGGAGCAUUAUAGGGAACCCCUGAUGUGAGAAUUGCUGUUCCCAAAGAUCGAGGACCUCAGAAGGCAGGACCGGGGAAUCUGGCCCUUCGGGCUCACCAAUCUAUGCCUCUCUCCCAGGGCCAGGUUCCGCCACCCCAAAUGGGUUUCAGCCAGAACCAGUGGAGAAACCCCAGGAACAGAAGAGUUUGAUCAGAGAGAUGCUCCCGGCUUCUCGGCCGCUCACCCGGAGGAGAGUUUGGUGUUGAGGCCCCACUUUUUGCCAACACCCUUCCCGGCUCUAUGACUUGCCGACCAGACACGGGGAGAAGCCCCGCGAAGCCCAACUUGGGGUAGGAUGACGAAGGGAGGAAUCUGACCGGCGAUUACUCUCCGAAGAGAUGGUAUUUGGUGAAUCACCCUGGCCACGAGGACCGUCUCCCUACCGUGUGGGCACAGUCAAGUCAAUCUCCAGACUUGCCCCACCAGUGAGGGAUUGAACUGUGCGGGCCUUGUGGCCACCACAGAGGCAAGGAUUUUUUGGGGGGUUUGUGUGUGUGAAAUGGGGUUAGCUUUUGGGGAAGGAUAGUUAGGAGGAGGCUAUCGAUCUCGGUAUGGAGGCUGCUUCUGGAAACAAGGCCCGGGGCUCUGUGCGGUGAACCGGCUCUAUCUGGUCUGACUUUGAGAUCGAGAAGUCGUGGUGUCCUAAAUUCUAGAGAUGGGUCACACCUCCUUCCGACCACAGUCCCGUCUUCGGGGUUAACCCGCCAACCGUCAGGCCCUGGCGAAGAGACCUGUCUGGGACUGCCAGUGGUGGUUUAUGGGAGGCCUAUGUCUGCAGAAGAUGAGGAAGUACUUCACCGUGUCCACUCUCUUCCUGGCCAACGAGCAGAGUUCUAUGAACGGGUCAUCGCCGGUGCGGACGAGGAGUGCAGAAGGCGGGUGUGGUACAACUGGAUUGAGUCUGGCUUGGGUCGGACCUCCUGUCCCCGGAGUAUGAGCGCUCUCUGGACCAAAAGAUUUGGAGUGGGUGGUCAAGUAUCAGUCGGGCGGAGUUUUGCCUUCGGCUUAAGUGUGCUCGAUCUGUUUGUGGAGAGCUGCCCUCUCACGGCGUUGAGGUUUUUGGCAGGUGGUAGAAUUGAAUGCUUGCUAAGGAAAAGAGUCAUCUGAAACCCCUACCCUUCUCUCCCCAGCUUGGUGGCCCCCGACUGUCCCAGAGACAUCAGCAUCUGGUGAUUCGGAAGCGGUUCUCGCCUAAGGACGGAGGGCAGGCCGAGAGAGGCAAACCUGGGGAUCGCAGAUGGACACGUUCCCGCUGAGGUUUCGGAUGCCCGUCGGCCAGGACUUGCGGAGCAGCUCCGAUGGUCCCCCACCUUGGUCGGACCGACGCUCCGGGAUCCGGUACCGUGUUGCCAGAGGAGGCCUCGGCGGCAAGUCCCUGGAGUCGUUCGUUCAAACGGCUCCGAUACUCGGUGGAAAAUUCCGCGGCCUUGAGUCCCCACCAUCCACGGUUUGGGGGGAAUGGGAGAGGGGAGACCUGGACUAGCUAUUACUUUCUCUACAGAGAGUACUGUACUUUCUCUUCGGUCUGCCCCUUGGUCUCCAUUCAAACCGCUACCCUGUUAAUGCAAGCACUCAUCCUAUCUGCCUCGACGAUCCUAUCAGCCUCCUCGCCGGCCUCCCGUCCGGGUCAUACUCUGGUCUGCUCCCUGGACAGUUUUCUUACAAAAUUGUUCAUACCAAGUUUCCCUGCUGUUCGAAAAACUCCAGCAGUUGACCAUCCACCUCUGCAACAAACAAAAGCUCACCCCUACUGCUCUGUCACAUGGCUAUUCUCCAAGUACAACCCAGCCACACACUCUGUCCCUCUAACGCCAACCCUCUUGAUGUCACCUAUCUCCCCGCCGACCCAUUCCACACAUCCUCCUUCCCCCCGUCGGACCGAUGAUUGCUCUCCGCCACUUCGGAGCCUCACCGGAGCCACGGCUCAUACCGCUCCAUCCGAGGGAAGGUGUCGAGUGUGUGCGUGUGAAGCUGGUGGCGGUUGGGGGGAUAGAAUGGCGAGGAGGAGGACGCCGCCGUGGACGCGCCAGCCGGUCACGGAAACGGGGUCCGGUUCCGUUUGACUCGGCCGUAGGCCCCAAGGCCCGGGGCCCUCGCCUCCGUUGAUGGAUCGGACCUCCCUGUGACUUCUGAUUCACCUGGCACAUCCACAGUCCCCAAAGAAGAGACUCUUCCGUGUGUGAUGACGAUUUCUGAGGAAGCAAGAGGAGGCCCAGUGAGCCCAGGAGAAUCUCGAGGCCUAUCUGGGAUGAACAGUCUGCUCCCCCAAGGAUUCGUCUUGACUUUCUCAGUAUAGAGGAGGCAGGAGAGAGAGUCCUAAGCAGUCCACCCUAAUAGCACGCUCGUCACCGGGGCCAUCCUUUUCG